rnacentral:rRNA from 1 species
CCUACGGGGGACUGCAGUGAGGAAUAUUGGUCAAUGGACGAGAGUCUGAACCAGCCAAGUAGCGUGAAGGAGGACUGUCCUAUGGGUUGUAAACUUCUUUUAUAUGGGAAUAAAAUGUUACACGUGUGGGAUGUUGUAUGUACCAUAAGAACAAGGAUCGGCUAACUCCGUGCCAGCAGCCGCGGUAAUACGGAGGAUCCGAGCGUUAUCCGGAUUUAUUGGGUUUAAAGGGUGCGUAGGUGGAUUGUUAAGUCAGUGGUGAAAGUUUGCGGCUCAACCGUAAAAUUGCAGUUGAAACUGGCAGUCUUGAGUACAGUAGAGGUGGGCGGAAUUCGUGGUGUAGCGGUGAAAUGCUUAGAUAUCACGAAGAACUCCGAUUGCGAAGGCAGCUCACUGGACUGCAACUGACACUGAGGCUCGAAAGUGUGGGUAUCGAACAGGAUUAGAUACCCCAGUAGUC